GGCUAACAUCCAAAAAUAUAAUAAUAGCUUCCAAAUGACAUCGUUUGGUGCAACGCAUGUAGUAGAAGACGGGUUCAUGCCUACUUUCAAGGUAGUAUACCAUAAUUGUUUUAGUGAAAUUCUAAUUUGUAUUUGUAUCACAAUUAAUUUAACCAGUUCUUAAACAAUUACAGAUACAAGGACAAAUUCAUCACCUACUGGGGGCAAUCAAGAUGUGGAAGUUGAUACACGUUGUGGUCAUAAUCCAACCGUCAAGCGAAUCAUUGUCCAACAACUGCAAACAUUUCUUCACGAGAAUAAUGAAUUAGUGAAGAUGUUCAAAAUGGCACUGGAUCGGAUGCCAUCAGACAGCCAUAAUAUUGUAAAACACCUGCUGGAGAGCAUGCAAGGAGGUUUAAUUCACCGACAAUAGAUGAAGUGGCUAUUGUCGUUGUUGGAGAGAAUUUGCAAUCAAGAGAUAUUGUACUUCAUCGCCGGAACAAUGAAUUGAAACGUGUAUAUGAAACGCAUAGAGCUUAUGAUGCUUUACAAUACCCAUUAAAUUUCUGGCAGGGAGAAGAUGGGUACCAUUUUAAUAUCAAAAUGGUUAAUCCAACAACAGGUGCUGAUACACACAAAAAAGUCAGUGCCAUGAAUUAUUAUGCAUACAGACUCAUGAUCCGUGAAGGUGAAGUAAAUCACAUUUUGAUGUGUCAACGGCUCUUUCAUCAGUAUGCAGUGGACAUGUACGUCAAAAUUGAGACUGAAAGAUUGACAUACAUCUGUCUUAACCAACAGCAGCUUCGAUCUGAAGAGUACAUUCAUCUUCGCGAUGCAAUCAAUGCUGACGACAAUGUAAAUAAUGUAGGAAGAAUGACAAUUUUACCGGCCACUUACAUCGGAAGCCCGCGCCACAUGCACGAGUACGCUCAAGAUGCGAUGUCUUAUGUUCGAAAGUAUGGCCGUCCAGACCUAUUUAUUACAUUCACCUGUAACCCACAAUGGAUUGAAAUAAAAAAGAACUGCUACACAACCAAACACCACUUGAUAGGCAUGACAUCACAGCCAGAGUUUACAAGCAAAAAUUAAAAUCUUAAUGAAUUUCAUUACAAAACAUCGUGUGUAUGGCCAAGUACGUUGUUGAAUGUACUCUGUUGAGUGGCAAAAGCGUGGUUUGCCACAUGCUCAUAUAUUAGUCUGGUUGGUUGACAAAAUAAGGCCAGAAGAAAUUGAUUCCAUUAUUUCAGCCGAAAUUCCUGAUGAAACGGUUGACCCAAAAUUGCAUACGAUAGUAACUAAACACAUGAUACAUGGACCUUGCGGAGUUUUCAACAACAGCUCACCCUGUAUGAUCGACGGCAAGUGCUCCAAACGGUACCCGAGAAACUUGCUUGCUGAAACCAUCUCGGGAAUCGAUGGUUACCCAUUGUAUCGUCGGCGAUCAAUUUACAAUGACACAUUGAUCAUAAUAGAAGAUAUGUGUUUGUUGAUGGCAAAUAAAGUAUUGUCGUGUUUGGGCCUGACAGCACCCAAUCGUGCUAUGCAAGAUGCAUUAAACCAUGAGUUGCAAAGAGAACUCCAGUACGAUACUCAAGCUAUGACCGAAGCAGUUCGCACAACUGUUCCGCAAUUGAACGAAGAACAAAGGAUUGCGUACGAUCGUUUAACACAAGCUGUAAACAGUGGGUCUGGGGGGAUUUACUUUCUUAAAUAGAUUCUCCUGGGGGUACUGGGAAAACGUUCCUAAUUUCAUUGCUAUUAGCAAAGAUCCGAUCGCAAAAUGAGUUAGCCCUAGCGUUGGCUUCAUCUGGAAGAGCAGCAACUUUAUUAGAAGGCGGACGAACUGCACAUUCAGCCUUAAAAUUACCAUUAAACAUGCAUAUCAACGAAACGCCAGUUUGCAACAUUGCCAAAAAUAGCGCUAUGGCGAAGACUUUCCAAGUAUGCAAAUUGAUAAUUUGGGACGAAUGCACAAUGGCCCACAAGAGGUCGCUGGAGGCACUAGAUAGAACGUUAAAAGAUUUACGUGAUAACCAAAACAUUUUUGGUGGAGCUAUGAUACUGAUGUCAGGUGAUUUUCGUCAGACUCUUCCAGUAAUUCCUCGAUUGA